rnacentral:rRNA from 1 species
AUUGAACGCUGGCGGCAGGCCUAACACAUGCAAGUCGAGCGGAUGACGGGAGCUUGCUCCUUGAUUCAGCGGCGGACGGGUGAGUAAUGCCUAGGAAUCUGCCUGGUAGUGGGGGACAACGUUUCGAAAGGAACGCUAAUACCGCAUACGUCCUACGGGAGAAAGCAGGGGACCUUCGGGCCUUGCGCUAUCAGAUGAGCCUAGGUCGGAUUAGCUAGUAGGUGAGGUAAUGGCUCACCUAGGCGACGAUCCGUAACUGGUCUGAGAGGAUGAUCAGUCACACUGGAACUGAGACACGGUCCAGACUCCUACGGGAGGCAGCAGUGGGGAAUAUUGGACAAUGGGCGAAAGCCUGAUCCAGCCAUGCCGCGUGUGUGAAGAAGGUCUUUGGAUUGUAAAGCACUUUAAGUUGGGAGGAAGGGCAGUAAGCUAAUACCUUGCUGUUUUGACGUUACCGACAGAAUAAGCACCGGCUAACUCUGUGCCAGCAGCCGCCGUAAAAC